GGAAGACGUGAUGUGGAGUGAAAUAUAGUAACGAAGCCCGUGAGCCAUGCGUCAAGAAAAGCCGCUAUUGUUUAUAUUGUACCCGUACCGUAAACCGACACAGGUGGAUGAGGAGAGAAUCCUAAGGCCGGCGGAAGAAGUAUUGCCAAGGAACUCGGCAAAAUGGCCCCGUAACUUAGGGAGAAGGGGUGCCUGCGAGAGCAGGCCGCAGAGAAUAGGCUCAAGCAACUGUUUAGCAAAAACACAGGUCUAUGCGAAACCGAAAGGUGAGGUAUAUGGGCUGACGCCUGCCCGGUGCUGGAAGGUUAAGAGGAGAGGUUAGCGGCAACGCGAAGCUUUGAAUUUAAGCCCCAGUAAACGGCGGCCGUAACGAUAACGGUCCUAAGGUAGCGAAAUUCCUUGUCGGGUAAGUUCCGACCCGCACGAAAGGCGUAAUGAUUUGAGCGCUGUCUCGGCAAUACAUCCGGUGAAAUUGAAGUGCCAGUGAAGAUGCUGGCUACCCGCGCCAGGACGGAAAGACCCCAUGGAGCUUUACUCCAGUUUGGCACUGGGGUCCGGUGUUGCAUGUACAGGAUAGGUGGGAGGCUGAGAAACGGUAACGUCAGUUGCCGCGGAGCCGCUGUUGGGAUACCACCCUUGUGAUAUUGGGCUUCUAACCAGCCGCCGUGAUCCGGCGGUGGGACAAUGCCAGGCGGGGAGUUUGACUGGGGCGGUCGCCUCCGAAAGGGUAUCGGAGGCGCCCAAAGGUUCCCUCAGAAUGGACGGAAACCAUUCGAAGAGUGCAAAGGCAGAAGGGAGCUUGACCGCGACACCGACGGGUGGAGCAGGUACGAAAGUAGGGCUUAGUGAUCCGGUGGUAUUAAGUGGGAAUGCCAUCGCUCAACGGAUAAAAGCUACCCUGGGAUAACAGGCUUAUCACUCCCAAGAGUUCACAUCGACGGAGUGGUUUGGCACCUCGAUGUCGGCUCAUCGCAUCCUGGGGCUGUAGUAGGUCCCAAGGGUUGGGCUGUUCGCCCAUUAAAGCGGUACGCGAGCUGGGUUCAGAACGUCGUGAGACAGUUCGGUCCCUAUCCGGCGUGGGCGCAGGAUAUCUGAGAGGAGCCGUCCUUAGUACGAGAGGACCGGGAUGGACGGACCGCUGGUGGACCGGUUGGCUUGCCAAAGCCAUGGCCGGGUAGCCAAGUCCGGAAGGGAUAAACGCUGAAGGCAUCUAAGCGUGAAGCCCCCCUCAAGAUGGGAUAUCCC
rnacentral:rRNA from 1 species